rnacentral:rRNA from 1 species
AACGAACGCUGGCGGCAUGCCUAACACAUGCAAGUCGAACGAAGGCUUCGGCCUUAGUGGCGCACGGGUGCGUAACGCGUGGGAAUCUGCCCCUUGGUUCGGAAUAACAGUUAGAAAUGACUGCUAAUACCGGAUGAUGACUUCGGUCCAAAGAUUUAUCGCCAAGGGAUGAGCCCGCGUAGGAUUAGGUAGUUGGUGGGGUAAAGGCCUACCAAGCCGACGAUCCUUAGCUGGUCUGAGAGGAUGAUCAGCCACACUGGGACUGAGACACGGCCCAGACUCCUACGGGAGGCAGCAGUGGGGAAUAUUGGACAAUGGGGGAAACCCUGAUCCAGCAAUGCCGCGUGAGUGAUGAAGGCCUUCGGGUCGUAAAGCUCUUUUACCAGGGAUGAUAAUGACAGUACCUGGAGAAUAAGCUCCGGCUAACUCCGUGCCAGCCGCCGCUGUAACAC